GACGAACGCUGGCGGCGUGCUUAACACAUGCAAGUCGAGCGGUAAGGCCUUUCGGGGUACACGAGCGGCGAACGGGUGAGUAACACGUGGGUGACCUGCCCUUCACUCUGGGAUAAGCCUGGGAAACUGGGUCUAAUACCGGAUAUUCACUUACUUCUGCAUGGGGGUGGGUGGAAAGUUUUUUCGGUGGGGGAUGGGCCCGCGGCCUAUCAGCUUGUUGGUGGGGUGAUGGCCUACCAAGGCGACGACGGGUAGCCGGCCUGAGAGGGCGACCGGCCACACUGGGACUGAGACACGGCCCAGACUCCUACGGGAGGCAGCAGUGGGGAAUAUUGCGCAAUGGGCGGAAGCCUGACGCAGCGACGCCGCGUGGGGGAUGACGGCCUUCGGGUUGUAAACCUCUUUCGACUUCGACGAAGCCUUUGGGUGACGGUAGGGGUGGAAGAAGCACCGGCCAACUACGUGCCAGCCGCCGCAGUAAAAC
rnacentral:rRNA from 1 species